GGUCAAGCUACUAAGGGCGCAUGGGGGAUGCCUAGGCGUGAGAAGGCGAUGAAGGGCGUGGAAGACUGCGAAAAGCUGAGGGAAGUUGUCAAACGAACUCUGAUCCUCAGAUACCCGAAUUAGCAAGAGCUGAAUCCAUAGGCUCUUGCGGCGAACGCGGCGAACUGAAACAUCUCAGUAACCGUAGGAAGAGAAAGAAAACUCGAUUCCGUAAGUAGCGGCGAGCGAAAGCGGAUUAGCCCAAACCAUGAGGGUUUUCCCUUGUGGGGUUGUAGGACCUUUAUAUCGACUUGAUUCGUCAGCUGAACGUUCUGGAAAGGACGACCAGAGGGGGUGACAGUCCCGUAAGCGUACAUGAAUCAAGCGUGAAGGACACCUGAGUAGGUCGGGUCACGUGGAACCCUGACUGAAUCUACGGGGACCAUCCCGUAAGGCUAAAUACUCUCUCACGACCGAUAGUGAACAAGUAGGGCGACCGAAAGGUGAGAAGAACCCCGGUAGGGGAGGAAUGUGAACCUGAAACCAUGUGCCUACAAGCGGUCGGAGCUCGUAAGAGUGACGGCGUGCCUUUUGCAUAAUGAUCCGGCGAGUUGUCGUUAACGGUGGGUUAAGGCCUUCAGGGCUGGAGCCAUAGGGAAACCAAGUCUGAAUAGGGCGCGAUAUCGUUGAUGGCAGACGCGAAACUGCGUGAUCUACCCAUGAGCAGGUUGAAUCGCGGGUAAAACCGCGUGGAGGACCGAACCCGUCUGGGUUGAAAACCGGUGGGAUGACUUGUGGGGAGGAGUGAAAGUCUAAUCAAACGCAGAGAUAGCUCGUUCUCUCCGAAAUAGCUUUAGGGCUAGCCUUGAGCCACUACGUUACGGGGGUAGAGCGACUGAAUCGGCUUGGGGGCCUUUCCCGGCUACCCUGCUGAACCAAACUCCGAAUACCGUAACGACUAUCUCAGGAGUCAGACCGCGAGGGAUAAGCUUCGCGGUCGAGAGGGAAACAACCCAGACCGUCGGCUAAGGUCCCGAAGUAAAACUCAGUCACUAAGGAAGUGAUGUUGCGGUGACAGCCAGGAUGUUGGCUUAGAAGCAGCCAUCAUUUAAAAAGUGCGUAACAGCUUACUGGUCGAGCAACGUCGCGCCGAAAAUGAUCGGGAGUAAGUUUUACACCGAAGCCGCGGAAUCGAAAGAUUGGUAGGAGAGCGCUGCAGGUCAGAUACAUCCCCGGCGGGAACGCUGGGCGUUGGGGCCUUGCAGGUGAUUAUGCCGGAAUGAGUAACGAUAAAGCAGGUGAGAAUCCUGCUCGCCGAAAACCUAAGGUUUCCUGGGGAAGGUAAAUCCGCCCAGGGUGAGCCGGUGCCUAAGUCGAGGCCGAAAGGCGUAGACGAUGGAUGACAGGUUAAUAUUCCUGUGCUCGGGCAGAUACUGAAGAGGGGACGUCGCGUGAAUGGUGAGAGGCCGGUUAGAAGCGGCCUUUGGGCAACCCAACCCGUCAGGGGAUGUCAUCUGAAACGCGUCCAAGAAAAGCCUCGUAGGGUUCCAAGCUGCCGAACCGUACUAAAACUGACACAGGUAGGUGAGACGAGAAGUCUCAGGCGCUCGGGAGAAUGGUGGUUAAGGAACUCUGCAAAAUUGUCCCGUACGUUCGCAAUAAGGGACGCCCCGAAGGGUGUUAAAGCCCAUUGGGGCCGCAGUGAAUCGGGAGCAGCGACUGUUUAUCAAAAACACAGGACUCUGCCAACUCGUAAGAGGAUGUAUAGAGUCUGACGCCUGCCCGGUGUCGGUAAGUCAAGGGAGUCGGUUAGCGCAAGCGAAGCUGGCGACCAAAGCUCCGAUAAACGGCGGCCGUAACUAUGACGGUCCUAAGGUAGCGAAGUUCCUUGUCGGGUAAGUUCCGACCUGCAUGAAUGGCGUAACGACUGCUCUACUGUCUCAACCACCAACCCGGUGAAAUUGUAGCCGUGGUGAAGAUGCCACGUUCCCGCAGCUAGACGGAAAGACCCCGUGAACCUUGACUGUAGGCAGGUAUUGGGCUGAGAUAGCUCUUGUGUAGGAUAGGUGGGAGGCUGUGAUCCAGGUACGCCAGUAUCUGGGGAGCCGUCGGUGAAAUACCACCCUGGAUCUGUUUUAGUUCUAACCCCAACUCCGUGAAACCGGAUGGGGAACAGUGCCUGUUGGGCAGUUUGACUGGGGCGGUCUCCUCCAAAAGAGUAACGGAGGAGCCCAAAGGUACCCUCAGCCUGGUCGGCAAUCAGGCAGCGAGCGUAAAGGUAGAAGGGUGCUUAACUGCGAGACUUAUCAGUCGAGCAGGUGCGAAAGCAGGGCUUAGUGAUCCGGCGGUGCUGGAUGGAAAGGCCGUCGCUCAACAGAUAAAAGGUACUCCGGGGAUAACAGGCUUAUCGCGUCCGAGCGUCCAUAGCGGCGACGCGGUUUGGCACCUCGAUGUCGGCUCAUCGCAUCCUGGGGGUGAAGAAGCUCCCAAGGGUUUGGCUGUUCGCCAAUGAAAGCGGUACGUGAGCUGGGUUCAGACCGUCGUGAGACAGGUCGGUCCCUAUCUGCUGUGGGCGUACGAAACUUGAGAGGAUUCUUCUUUAGUACGAGAGGAUUUAGAAGGACGUUCCUCUGGUGUCCCAGUUGUCGCGCUAGCGGCACGGCUGGAUAGCUAUGAACGGAAUGGAUAAACGCUGAAAGCAUAUAAGCGUGAAGCCAGCCUCAAGAUUAGGUUUCGUUGGGUUUUACCCUGAAGUCCCCAAGAAGACGACUUGGUUGAUAGGCCAGAUGUGUAAGAGCAGUAAUGUUCUCAGCUAACUGGUACUAACGGACGAACGCUUGACCACGUU
rnacentral:rRNA from 1 species